GCAUCGAAAAGUUCAAAAGAUUGAAAUAGUGACGAUAAUAAUAAGAGAAGGAAGCUAGAGUCGGAGGCUAUAUCUUUCCGCUGGGAUCUAAUGGACAUGACUAUAAAUCCGGAGGAUUGGUCAACUUUUGCACCGGAGAUCGAGAUGUUUCAGCGACUACAUGUUAACUUCGAGGAUGUGAAUCUGAUUCAUAUUCUUCGAAGUAGGAACGAACGAACGGAUACACUGGUAAAAGAGGCUAGAACCAGAGGUUAUAUCUCCGGAUAGACAGGAGAUGCUUUCCGGAGAAUCAAUUCGUCGUCUGACCAUCACUUGAUCAAAUUCAUUGGGAAGCUGACAAAAAAGAAAAAAAGAAAAAAAUAUUAUGCUACAUAAAUCUUGACUUAUUUACCUCUAGUUAACCACGUAAAGAUCAAUAGCUUUAUUAUGCCAUUAUAGACUCAUUGAUCUCUCACAUAAUAGCAUCUUGUUCACCCAUGACCCAUCCACAUAUUCACAUGCCUCAAUAUCUCUGAGAUGAGACGUGUGUAGGGGAAGUUCACUAAUCAGAUAUGUGUAGACGAGUUACAUACAUAAUGGGCCUUCAAAGCCUAUAUUACUUUUACUAGGCCCGUUUUAGAAAAUCACGUUAGCGCAGAAACUACGCAAAAGGAAGAAAAAAAACGAGAUCAGAAUCACCUGC
rnacentral:lncRNA from 1 species